rnacentral:lncRNA from 1 species
CUAGGUUUAAAUUUUAUGCAUAGCUCGAAUUCAUUCAUUAUUCUUUCCAAAGUCAUAUUUCCUACUGUAUCUUCUAUUUUAGUCGAGUUCCAGCCAUCAUAUAACAAUUUACCAGUUUCUUCAUCUUUUUUCCAAUAACCCCAAAAAUUAAACACAAAGUUGACCUUUGCAUCAGACAUUCUGCACAACCAAAACACACAAAAAGAACACAAUAUAAACAUUCAAGACAUGCUAUUAAUGAUUCAUCUAAUAGAGAAAUAGUGUAGAAUAGGUUUGCAUGCUCUGGAAAAAUAAAUAUCAAUGUUAAGGCAUGACUUACCUAUUUUCGGAACUGGAUUAGUUUCGUCGUCGGAACACUCGUAUCACUUGAAGAAAUCGCCGGAACAGUCUUCUUCUCCUUCGAUUUCGUCUGCAGAUUGUGAGUUUGAAAAAUGGAAGAAAAACUCUUCGUAUCCUUAGGUAUUUACACCAACCCGCGUAAAUAGUUGGAAGGUGGGCCCCACGCGAAAAUAAAAUACAAAAAAAUUUAUUUAAGAAACGGCGUCUUUGGGCCGUCAAACGAGUGGGCUUAAGUGUAGUAUUUCUAUGGGCUAUGGGGAGUUAUUUGGGCCUGAGCCGAGUGUGGGGAGCGGAACGCUCUAGGGGUGUGGACUUCAGGGGUGAAUAUGCACUUCAACCCUUUAUUAAAUGUUCUAUUUUAUUAUUUUCCUUGUUUCUUAUUAAGUGUCCCAUUUCAAAAUUUGAGAGUAUAAUUAUGACAUUCUUCCUAUUUUAUCCUUAUUUAAUACUUGUAUGAAUAUAAUAAAUAGUUGUAUAUAUGCAUUUAUUAUGAUAAUUACUCAGGUUACAAAUGUAAAUAUCUUAUUUUAUUCGUACGUGUAUUUUAACGGCUGAGGACACUUAAUAAAAAACGGAAGGAGUAUUAAUUAGAAUCUUAAAAAGAAACUUAAUUAACCUCAACCUUAAUAAUAAGUCAACGCUUUAAUUAUUUGUCUUAAAUUUAUUACUCCAUUCCUCCCCCCUUUGAUAGUUUACGUUACUUUUCAACACAUAUUUUAUAAUAUUAUUUAUAUAUAUAUAAUUGUUCUAUUUUGCACUUAUUUAGUAUUUUACAUAUUAUCUUCACACACAUUGAAUAUUCAUAAAACUUUGUUUUAUGAAUAGCACUUCAAAUCAUUAGACAACAGUAUUUGAAAUAGUAUUAGUACUUUAUAAUGUGAAUUAAUAAAAAUACAAAGAAAAUGCAUAAAAUAACAACAAUAAUAUUAAUAAGUGGCUAAAAAUAAUUACAUAUUAUUUUCACACACAUUAAAAUAAUCAUAAUCAUGCGCAUUAUCAUAUUAUUCAAAUCUAAGGAGAAGGAAAUAUACCUUAUUAAUUUUUUGUGAAUUUCGUUCUUAUUUUGACUUUCCAGUUGAGUCCUCCCUUUCCCCUUAACUUCGUUCGUCUUGAUCUUCCCUUGUCUCGCCAGCUGAGUGUGAUCUGAAUGUAUAUUAUCAUAAUAUAUGAGAACAUAUUCUUAGUAACAUGAAUUAAAUUUAUUUAAAGGGAAAAUACCUGUUUUUCUUUCUUUUUUUCUGCAAUACGUUUUGCCUGUUAUCUAGGCUCGUCUCUAUCUUCUUGUAUGUAUCUUCCGAUUCAAUCCUCCCGCGAUGAGCUACGUCGUAAUUGAAAGGGGUUUUGAUCUCUCAAACUUCACCAUACAAACAAGAGGCCGAAAAAUGAUAACUUAAUUUUCCUUUCUAUAGCCCUCUGUGUUUGACACUAUUCUAGAUCUGUUUUCUUCUCUAGAUAGGAACCUAAUUAAUAAUUAUUCUAAACAAACAUUGCAGCUAAUUAAAUAUUACAACCAUUUGUAUAUAUUAAUUAGUCCUUAGAAAGUUGCGAU